ACGAUGCGUAGGGGUUCUGAGAGGAAAGUCCCCCACACUGGUACUGAGACACGGACCAGACUCCUACGGGAGGCAGCAGUGAGGAAUAUUGGUCAAUGGCCGCAGGGCUGAACCAGCCAAGUCGCGUGAGGGAUGACGGUCCUAUGGAUUGUAAACCUCUUUUGUCAGGGAGCAAAGGGCGCCACGUGUGGCGCUUUGCGAGUACCUGAAGAAAAAGCAUCGGCUAACUCCGUGCCAGCAGCCGCGGUAAUACGGAGGAUGCGAGCGUUAUCCGGAUUUAUUGGGUUUAAAGGGUGCGCAGGCGGAAUGUCAAGUCAGCGGUAAAAUUUCGGGGCUCAACCCCGUCGUGCCGUUGAAACUGGCGUUCUUGAGUGAGCGAGAAGUAUGCGGAAUGCGUGGUGUAGCGGUGAAAUGCAUAGAUAUCACGCAGAACUCCGAUUGCGAAGGCAGCAUACCGGCGCUCAACUGACGCUCAUGCACGAAAGCGUGGGUAUCGAACAGGAUUAGAUACCCUGGUAGUCCACGCAGUAAACGAUGAAUACUAACUGUCCGGGCAGAAUGAUGCCUGG
rnacentral:rRNA from 1 species